rnacentral:tRNA from 1 species
GCCCUGGUACUCCAACGGCAGAGAGGAUGCACUCAAACUGCAUACAGUGUGGGUUCGAAUCCCACCCAGGGCA